UACGUGGGGGGCGAGCGUUGUCCGGAAUUACUGGGCGUAAAGAGCGUGUAGGCGGUCUGUCAAGUCGGAUGUGAAAUCUCCAGGGCUCAACCCGGAAACUGCAUUUGAUACUGACGGACUUGAGAGAUGAAGGGGCAAGUGGAAUUCCCGGUGUAGCGGUGAAAUGCAUUGAUAUCGGGAGGAACACCCGUAGCGAAGGCGGCUUGCUGGGCAUCUUCUGACGCUGAGACGCGAAAGCAGGGGGA
rnacentral:rRNA from 1 species